rnacentral:rRNA from 1 species
GACGGGGACCCGCACAAGCGAUGGAUGAUGUGGAUUAAUUCGAUGCAACGCGAAGAACUUUACCUGGUCUUGACAUGUCAGGAAUCCUGCAGAGAUGCGGGAGUGCCUUCGGGAACCUGAACACAGAUGCUGCAUGGCUGUCGUCAGCUCGCGUCGUGAGAUGUUGGGUUAAGUCCCGCUACGAGCGCAACCCUUGUCACUAGUUGGUACGAAAGGGCACUCUAGUGAGACUGCCGGUGACAAACCGGAGGAAGUUGGGGAUGACGUCAAGUCCUCAUGGCCCUUAUGACCAGGGCCUCACACGUCAUACAAUGGUCGGUACAGAGGGUAGCCAACCCGCGAGGGGGAGCCUAUCCCAGAAAGCUCGAUCGUAGUCCGGAUUGCAGUCUGCAACUCGACUGCAAGAAGUCGGAAUCGGUAGUAAUCGCAGGUCAGCAUACUGCGGUGAAUACGUUCCCGGGUCUUGUACACACCGCCCGUCACACCAUGGGAGUGGGUUGCUCCAGAAGUAGUUAGCCUAACCGCAAGGAGGGCGAUUAC